rnacentral:rRNA from 1 species
CCUACGGGAGGCAGCAGUGGGGAAUUUUGGACAAUGGGCGAAAGCCUGAUCCAGCCAUUCCGCGUGAGUGAAGAAGGCCUUCGGGUUGUAAAGCUCUUUCGCAAGGGAAGAAAACUUAGAUACUAAUAUUAUCUGAGGUUGACGGUACCUUGAUAAGAAGCACCGGCUAACUACGUGCCAGCAGCCGCGGUAAUACGUAGGGUGCGAGCGUUAAUCGGAAUUACUGGGCGUAAAGCGUGCGCAGGCGGUUUUGUAAGUCAGAUGUGAAAUCCCCGAGCUCAACUUGGGAACUGCGUUUGAAACUACAAGACUAGAAUAUGUCAGAGGGGGGUAGAAUUCCACGUGUAGCAGUGAAAUGCGUAGAGAUGUGGAGGAAUACCAAUGGCGAAGGCAGCCCCCUGGGAUAAUAUUGACGCUCAUGCACGAAAGCGUGGGGAGCAAACAGGAUUAGAUACCCUGGUAGUCCACGCCCUAAACGAUGUCUACUAGUUGUUGGUGGAGUAAAAUCCAUGAGUAACGNAGCUAACGCGUGAAGUAGACCGCCUGGGGAGUACGGUCGCAAAGNUUAAAACUCAAAGGAAUUGACCGG